UACGAAGGGGGCUAGCGUUGCUCGGAAUCACUGGGCGUAAAGCGCACGUAGGCGGCUUUCUAAGUCAGGGGUGAAAUCCUGGAGCUCAACUCCAGAACUGCCUUUGAUACUGGAGAGCUUGAGUCCGGAAGAGGUGAGUGGAACUCCGAGUGUAGAGGUGAAAUUCGUAGAUAUUCGGAAGAACACCAGUGGCGAAGGCGGCUCACUGUCCGGUACUGACGCUGAGGUGCGAAAAGCGUGGGGGAGCAAAACAGGGAUUAGAU
rnacentral:rRNA from 1 species